UUACAUUGUGUUAUCACACAGUUAAACAUGAUGAAAAGUGACGGUUUAGAACUAAACUGGGAUUGUUGUUUUAGAGUAUGGAGGAACUGGAUGAGUACCAUCAAGAUGUUCUCACUUUCGAACAACAUCAACUUGAAAAGAGUGUGACUGCAAUGCAAACCAAAAUCAUGAUGGAAACACAGCUGCGACGGCUGGCCUAUGUUACUCGGCUGACACUGUGAAGAAGGAAGCUGAACUUGACUGAUGUGAUGGCGUCCUCAACUUAGCCAAGGAAGCCAGUGUGGCUUACGAUUCUAGUCUAAAUUAGUGCCCCUCCUUUGUUAUCUUGUUAAUUGCCAGACCUCCUUCCCAUUAAAACCAAAACAGAUCCCAAACGGUUAUGUGAGUAGCAGUAAUUGCAAACUUGCAUGUACCAAGCUUCCAGCCCUUUGGUAGGAACAACGACUUUAUCUCCCUAACGCGCUGCCAGUUAACUUUUAGCAAUAUAUAUGAUAUAAUCUUUCAUUUGGCUUUUUAGUCCAUCUAUGUCAGUUCUGAAAUGUAGAAAACACAGUUUUGGAAAAUUAUAUUGUUUUUCUUAAGGAAUAUAUUUCUAGCAGGGAGAGUCUAUUUUACCCAAAAGCUUUUGUGUGUACUCACUGUUACAUACAGAGCCUAUUUUAAUAAAAAUGAGACUUCAAAUGAAUUAUAUUCUGUAGACAUUCAAAAUGUACCAAAGAAACUUCAGAAUAUGCCUUUUCAUAAACCAGACUGCUAAAAAUCAUCAAGACAGCUGAACGAGGUGUGUCAGUAUCAGCUGUGAAAUGAGGAUUUGCAGAUGUACCAUUUCCACAUACACACAUGCAAAUACAAAUAUGUCACUCAAUUGGGUUUGGCCCACUGUGAAAUGACAUUUGCUCUUAGCAGUGAUUAAAAAUACUUCAUUAACAUAUUCAUAGACCGAAUUGCUUUUCCAGUAUGUCACACUUGUUGUAUACAAAAAUUACCUACAUUUUUUUUCAGAACUAAUAUCCAGUGACCAUAUGGAAAGUUGGUAGAGUAUUCAUUUAAACACAUGAAAAACUACAUGUGUAGUUGUACCUGGACAUUUAUAUUGUGCCCUUUUACGUAAAGAUUUCCCCCAUCAGUCAAAGUAGGCAUUGGCAUAUGUAUCUUGAAUACUAAUUCAGACUUCUGUGGGUGAAAGCUAGGGUGGCUGAUAUUCCGCCUGAUAUCUCGAGUGGGUUAUGGCCCUGGAUAUCAGCUCCCCUGUUGCAAUGCAUGCCUAUGGUGGCGAAGGGGGGUUGGGCUGACAGGGUGUUGUCUCUCACGGGUCAGAACACCCUGUGUGUAACUUUCAGCCUUUCUCUCCCUUUGUCUGCUAGACCCCAGGUGGUCAAGUAAGGUCCCUGUGCAGGGGGUGCCCCAGUCUACUGCAUUGUGACUUGGUUCCCGGGUUGCUCCAUAUAUGAGAAAUUUUGCUGGCAGAUACCGAGGAGAAAUAAAUCACCUAGAAUGUUCUUUCUAAA